rnacentral:ribozyme from 1 species
CUAAACAAAAGGAAGUGCAUGAGAAAUACCUGGAAAAACAGGCCAAAUAAUUGUGUUUUUUUUUUUUGGUGAAUAUACUUGUAAUUGCAUAUUACAUCGUUCACUUGUUUAAGAUUGAAAUGUAAUUC